rnacentral:rRNA from 1 species
GACGAACGCUGGCGGCGUGCCUAAUACAUGCAAGUAGAACGCACAGUUUAUACCCUAUCUUGCUGCACCGUAGACUUUGAGUUCCGGACGGUUGAGUAACGCUUACGUAACCUGCCUUGUAGCGUGAGAUAACUAUUGUAUACGUUAUCUAAUACCUCAUAGUAUUGAUUCUUGCUGGGUCAUUGAUUGAAAUUUUCAAUGUCAGCGCUACCAUAGGGACCUGCGUUGUAUUAGCUAGUGGGUGAGGUAACGGCACACCUGGGCGAGGAUACAUAGCCGAGCUGGGAGGGUGAUGGGCCACACUGGGACUGAGACACGGCACAGACUACUACGGGAGGCAGCAGUAGGGAAUCGUAGGCAAUGGAAGAAAGGCAGACCGGGCAACGCGGCGUGAGUGAAGAAGGGUUUCGGAUCGGAAAGCGCUGUUGUAAGAGAAGAAAGGGUGUGAGAGUGGAAAGUUCACACUGUGAAGGUAUCUUACCAGAAAGGGACGGCUAACUACGUG